UUUCGGCCACAUCACGUUGGAACACCGGUUCCCGUACGAUCAGCGAGGUCAAGCAACGGCGAUCUUGUUCAGUACUUAGCUGGUGAAUCGCUAGGGAAUAUCAGGAGCUGUAA